CAUCAACCCCUGUCACCCCUAAGGCAGAAUCAAGAUGGUACAACGGAACGGGUAAGUACCGGCUCGUAAAACGCUAAGCGGGGGUUUGCGAGCAUUUGGAACACAGAGGGAAGGCUUUUUAACACGCAGGGCUGCACGUCCGCCGCCGGAGAUCCCUUACCUCUGCGACUGGCACAGCACACAGGGCGGCUCCCAGCCCUGCGCCCACCGCGCGGCGCCACCGCCCGCUCCCACCAGGAAGGCCGCGUCUGCCGGUGCCGGCCAGAGCGGGGAGGCCGUGCCUGGGCAUGCGAGAAACAGUGAGCACAGAAACACCAGAGCAGGGAUCAUCUGCUGCAGCUGGGGAAGGGGACCGUGAACCGGCGAUGUUCUGGAAUAACAGCGAGUGGCCGUACUGGUUAUUAUCGUGACGGUGAGGUAUAAAGGCGAGAAACAACAGCUGGGCGCGGGGGGCACCGCCGCCCCAACCCGGCCGCCCGUAACCGCGGUACCUCAGGAGAGAGCACCAACCCCGCAGCCAGAAGGACCGCGCCGCCAUCUUGGGAGUGGGCGGUACGCCGGAAGUGACGCCAUGCUGGGAGGGUGGUCCGGAUCGGCGCGUGCGCAGAGGGCGGGCACGUGGGGAGGGCGCGAGGCGCGGCCGUUGGGUUAACGGUCGCUGUGAGGGGCGGCGGCGCUGGGAGGCGACCAACGGUCGUUGGCGCCGCGCGGGAACGCUGUUGCCGCGCUCAGCCCUCAGCCUCGCGGCUCGCACAGGCUCGGCUUCCAUCUGCUUUGGUCCACUUCAUCUUUACUUUUCCGGAGUACGUGAGUUGGUGCAGGAGGAAGGAGGUGCCAUCCUGUGUGCUGAGCAGAUGUGUGGGACGAGCUGUGCAGUGGAGCCAGGUGCUUCUGGCCAGCCAAGGACUGCAGGAGCGGGGAAGGAGUUGUCAUUUGAGCACCAAGAAAUACGUCGUCCAGCCAGCAAGCAGCAGUGCUCCCACCAGCACGGUGUAGCUGAACAGCACAAACGCCAGCAGCUCCCGCAGAACCUUGAGGAAGUGGAUUGCAAAGGAGUCCGGCAUCGUUCCCCACAGUACUGCAGUGCAGAAUGAAAUUCAGCGUGAAACAGAGACCUCAGUGUUCGCUGUGGAGAGCGUGAGUAUAGCGUCAGCGACCAAAGGAAAGGGCAGACAGCAGGGCCUGCUCUGCCUUCCAAGCCACCAGCCAUAGCAAAGCACGCUCCUGGAGCCAGAAGCUGCCACUUGCGUUCGUUGGCUCAGCAGUGCCAGUGGCCCAGCCCCAAGGCCAUGGAAAAUUCCGUUGUAUAAUUUUGGGCUCUGCAACAGCAAGUACCACAAUUUAUAAAGUGAAGAAAACAAAAAAGGUGUCUGUUUUAAACCUGCUGCUUACUGGUUUACUGACACAGCUAUUUUUGGUCUGCGUCCCAUGUGAGGAGUGCCUGUGUAUGUGUACCUUCAAACAUAAGUGCGUGGCACAGUGAUGUAAUUCAUACUCAGGAGUUGCGUUACAGGCAGGUGGGGUAUACCUGGGACAAACAAUCCACCUCCCACUGAGCCCUUCCCAGAAUGGCUGAAGUAAAAGACUGGCAUUUCCCUAGAACCUGGGUGCAGUCAGUGGUGUCCACAGUCAGUACUGCUGCCGUGCAUGUGUGUAGUUCAAGAUUUAGCUGUUGCUGCUUGUGCUAGAGGAAGCCCAGUGAAUGUCUUGGCCAAGCAGCAUGCAAGACAGUGGACUUGAAUGUGGCCUAGAAGUAGUUAACCUGCAGGGACAGCACAUUACAGGUCCCUUAGCAUCACUGGCUGCUUGAGGGGGCACUGAGGAUAUGCAGCAGCUGAAUGAUAGAGAACCUUGAGCAGCUGGGUCCCAAAGGAGCCUGUUACCCCUAAUGCUUUCUGUUUCAUUUUGCUACUUUGUGAAUUAUGUGUCAUUGCUUUUUUUUUGUCCUCAAACUGUACCUAAAUGUAUGCAGCAAAAAAAAGUUGAUGCUUCCUCCUUACUGCAGUUAUCUUUCCCUUGUACAAUCAGUGUUUGUGGAUGUGAGAGAACUCAGCUGCUGUGACCUGCAAGCCACAGAGGCUAGUGAUACAAAAUCAGGAGCAGAUGAGGCACUGCUUUCUGAGCUUGUUGGAAGAACCAAACUGAAAGAAAAAUGGAAGUGGUUUGAGCAGGGCAAAUUCUGCUACCCCAGCGCUUGACCGUUGAUUCAUAUUGCAAGCAGAUACAUCUCUUUCUCCCAUUGUUUAUUUCAUGGUUAAUGUCUUUCAGCACUGCUCAGCUACUACAAGUUCCACAAACAAACAGUGGGAAUACAAGUGCAGAGAGGGAGGCAGGGAACCGCAUCAUGGACUGGAGCAUGCCAUUCUUCCAGGGGCACAUUCCCUUCCUAGUCAAGGAGCCCCGCCAGCGGGGGGGUGUAUCACAUCUGUAUGUAUCUGAUGUACCUGUAUCACACAGGGCUGCUCAGUUUCACUCUCUCUUGCCACAGAUUCUAGAAAGGGGUAGGCUCUAAUUUUUCCAUCAAGGAUUUGAUCCAGGUUGUUCCAUUGAUUAGUUUUGUGGUGGCAAUGACGUACUCUGUGCCUCCAUCUUCCAUCUGAGAUAGAAAUCUCAGUGCAGCUAUUUCUGCAUAUGUCACACCUCCCAGGAAGAACACCAGCGUGACUCGGUUCUCACCAUGCUGACCUGCAUAUACAGAGAAAGAGAGAGGUUGCCUUUCUUUUCUUUUAAUACCUCCUAUCCAUCAGCUAUCAGUCCAACUCAGAAUGUCCUCAAACUAAAGUAAAUUUAGGAGCUGAUUUAAAAGAGAAGCAUAUUGGGCACAGCAGCAGACAGGAGAUGCAGAAUCUGCUGCCAGCUCUGCAGUCUCUAUAGAAUGUGCCUCUGUCUGGCCAGGUUUAAUACUAACAGAGCGAUGCUGACCUUCUUUGUACUUAUUUAAAUCACAGUGCAAUAGAAGGGUU
rnacentral:lncRNA from 1 species